rnacentral:rRNA from 1 species
AGCCGCGGGAACACCGGCGGCCCGAGUGGUGAUCGUGAUUAUUGGGUCUAAAGGGUCCGUAGCCGGUUUGGUCAGUCCUCCGGGAAAUCUGAUAGCUCAACUAUUAGGGCUUUCGGGGGAUACUGCCAGACUUGGAACCGGGAGAGGUAAGAGGUACUACAGGGGUAGGAGUGAAAUCUUGUAAUCCCUGUGGGACCACCUGUGGCGAAGGCGUCUUACCAGAACGGGUUCGACGGUGAGGGACGAAAGCUGGGGGCACGAACCGGAUUAGAUACCCGGGUAGUCCCAGCCGUAAACGAUGCUCGCUAGGUGUCAGGCAUGGCGCGACCGUGUCUGGUGCCGCAGGGAAGCCGUGAAGCGAGCCACCUGGGAAGUACGGCCGCAAGGCUGAAACUUAAAGGAAUUGGCGGGGGAGCACAACAACGGGUGGAGCCCUGCGGUUUAAUUGGACUCAACGCCGGACAACUCACCGGGGGCGACAGCAAUAUGUAGGCCAAGCUGAAGACUUUGCCUGAAUCGCUGAGAAGAGGUGCAUGG